GAUGAACGCUGGCGGCGUGCCUAAUACAUGCAAGUCGAGCGAACAGACGAGGAGCUUGCUCCUCUGACGUUAGCGGCGGACGGGUGAGUAACACGUGCAUAACCUACCUAUUAGACUGGGAUAACUUCGGGAAACCGGAGCUAAUACCGGAGAAUAUAUUGAACCGCAUGGUUCAAUAGUGAAAGACGGUUUUGCUGUCACUUAUAGAUGGAUCCGCGCCGCAUUAGCUAGUUGGUAAGGUAACGGCUUACCAAGGCAACGAUGCGUAGCCGAUCUGAGAGGGUGAUCGGCCACACUGGAACUGAGACACGGUCCAGACUCCUACGGGAGGCAGCAGUAGGGAAUCUUCCACAAUGGGCGAAAGCCUGACCCAGCCACGCCGCGUGGGUGAUGAAGGUCUUCGGAUCGUAAAACUCUGUUAUUGGGGAAGAACAGAUGUAUAAUUAACUCUGCACGUCUUGACGGUACCUAAUCAGAAAGCCACGGCUAACUACGUG
rnacentral:rRNA from 1 species